rnacentral:rRNA from 1 species
GACGAACGCUGGCGGCGUGCUUAACACAUGCAAGUCGAACGGAAAGGCCCUGCUUGCAGGGUACUCGAGUGGCGAACGGGUGAGUAACACGUGGGUGAUCUGCCCUGCACUUCGGGAUAAGCCUGGGAAACUGGGUCUAAUACCGGACAGGAGCCAUUUUUAGUGUGAUGGUUGGAAAGUUUUUUCGGUGUAGGAUGAGCUCGCGGCCUAUCAGCUUGUUGGUGGGGUAAUGGCCUACCAAGGCGGCGACGGGUAGCCGGCCUGAGAGGGUGGACGGCCACAUUGGGACUGAGAGACGGCCCAGACUCCUACGGGAGGCAGCAGUGGGGAAUAUUGCACAAUGGGCGCAAGCCUGAUGCAGAGACGCCGCGUGGGGGAUGACGGCCUUCGGGUUGUAAACUCCUUUCGCUAGGGACGAAGCUUUUUGUGACGGUACCUAGAUAAGAAGCACCGGCUAACUACGUG